UGCCAUUAGGGUCACUUUCUCGACUCGGGCUUUAAAAAGUUUAAGGUCGUCGUUAGAAACUUUGAAUGUUUCUACAAUUUACACUUUCUGUCUAAUUCAAAUGAAAGUUGAGGCUUGAGAGUGGUAAAUCCAGGUUUGUGUAGAAGUAGGAGGAGGGACGAAGCAAUUGUGGUUGUCUCGAGAUGGAGGUAAAUAAUUUAAGCUAGUUGUUAGAGUAGAUUAAGUGAAAAGAAAAUGUGGGAUGGAUGAGGUUCCUUCUUUCAUUCAUUUAGUCUUGCUUUUGAAUCAACGCUGUUUAAGGAAGAUAAGCAGACAGUUAGCUGUGUCUUAUUGGGUUUUCUACAGUUGAACACAAUGGCAUGGAUUUUUCAUUUUGAAUAUGACCUUCAUCCAGGAACAAAAUAUGAAGAUUUCACCUAACUUUUGAGCAAGAUUCAAAAGGAGAUGGGUUUUGUGAGUCACAAGCAAAAUCUAAUGAAUAAAUCAGUGUGGUGAUGAACAAACUCAAAUACUCGGUAAUAUUUUGUAUUUGAUAAAUAUUUAAAACAAAAUAGUUAGCAAGACCACAAGGAAGAGAUUGAUAUACUCAACAAAACAUCACUUUGUUCAGUCACAAUGGUUUCUCCUCAUGAUAUUUAUCAUUUCCUACAGUGAAGAGGUCAGCGAUUGCAAUAUGUUCAAGAUUUUCUCUAUUCUUCUAUCGAUAAUUAUCUGUUAAAUUGCGACUGUGUUGACUCGAUGAUUUUUGUUUAAAGUAAUAAUCUGAGAUUAUCAGUUCUUGAUCGGGCCUUUUACACUGACUUGCCACCGCGGCUAGAUCAGGGCAUUUGAUUCCAUUUUUGCGCUGAUCUGGAUGAAAGCUGUGUGCAGCGGUUGCUAAGAUGAUCGUUUGCGAUGGUAAAGUUCUGACUUUUUAUUGUGACCUUUUCCUACACCUGGGCGUCAUUCGGGAUUCGACAUCAAAGAUACUUUUGUUUUAUCCAAAAUCUACCUGGAUCGUCAAUACAUUACUUUAAGUACCGUUAUUUUACCAAAAAACUUUUCUCCUUUUCAAUUCAUUCUAAGGUGGUGUCAGCUUUACAGGAAUUCCAAAUGUAUUUUGAAUCGGUACAAUAAUGAAAGCUUCGAUUGUAUUAAUGGUCUCAUGCCUGAUCCAACAAAAAAGCAAACGUGGAAUUAUGAAACUAUUGACAUGGAUAGUUUUGCAUCUUUCAACAGGUCGAUGUUUAAAUUGAUUGUUGCUGGAUAAAUUUUUUUGGUGACAGAUUUUUAUCAACAACAUUGUGCCAACUAUUCGUGUGGAUGUGGAUGCUGUUUGGACCGGGAGGGCCGGCUGUCGCCUAGGUCCUAUUGUACGGAAUAUUAGUUCGAGAAUAAAUUUACGAACUUAACUUUUCAGGACUUUAUUUUCCAGUUAUCGCUGGAAAUUGACAUUUCAGCCCAGUAUUCCAACUGGGCUGAAAUGUCAAUUUCACAGGACGGAAAGUCAUUGUCGUGGUGUUUAUCAAUUUCCUUCCUAGAUGACGUUAAGCUUUUGCAAAUCCGUCUGGCUUAUCACUCCUGCUUGGCCUCUUAACGCAUUUUUUAUUUUUUUAUUAAUUGUUUUUGCAUUUUCGUCUCUGACGUAUUUCAGAUAGUAGAUUUAACGGGCCAUGGUGUUCGCGAAAUUCCCGACAGCCAAAAUGUUUUAAAAUUGAAAACGGUUUGCAUUGGCAUGUGCAGAGCAAGGGUCCUGGAAGACCAAGAUCAAUCGAAAUUAUUGUUUUAUUCUUUAUUAUAAAGAAUCUAUGUGGCGUUCACGCGAAAAGAUAACUUGCACUAGGAUGGCAAGAGAGCUAAAAACUUUUCGAUCGUUGAAAAGUCUACUGUGAUGUUAACGGGUACAAAGUAAUAUUGUUCUCUAGCAGAGAAAGUUGUCUAUGAAGCGCCGCGUUUCCUUCUGUCCAAUCAAGUCGUCUAGAAAUCAGGAAGCUAAACACAAAACUUAAAGAUUGUUGUACGUUUUCUUUGUCGUUAGAUGGCACCAUGUUGGAUGAUGUUUUAAGUCUGUCGUACGUUUUUAUGGCGCUAGAUGGCGUUACGCUAGAUAUGCUACACGUUUGAAGGCCGCGAACAGUCUAAACUCGAUUUUACAGUUCCAACUGGAUUAUGUCGCAUCAUCGUAAUCAAACAUCCAAGAAUUCACAAGGAACGCAAAGCAGUCUUCAGCAAUUCUGUGAUACAAAACAAUUUCUAUCUUACAUAUUUUUUUUGUCUUUAAUUCUUAUCAAUGUUACAUGUUUUGGUCAAAUGAUUGUUACAAGUAAGUUGUUGCACAGUCAAGCAAAGAUGAAAGGCAAAAGGAGGAUGGUCAGAUGAAGAAUGGACUUGCAUAACAUACAAGCCAAUGGCAUCCUGUUAUCUUAAUUGCAUAUUCAUGCAGAAGCUUUUGGCUGGCACUUAGAACGGUGUUGGGUUUCAAAACACAUUCAAUGUGCUCAACCAAAUCCCAGAUUAUCCAGUGCAGUCAUCCUUGUUAGAUACCAUCCUCUUCUCUUGUUUGAUCCAAAUCUUUGUACCUAUGUGAUAAAGAUAAGAUGAAAAUGUGAAACAUGUGUGAAAGGGCUGAAACUAAGGUAAAAUAAACUUAAGGCUUUUAUUCAGUUUAUGUGUGGGAGUAAAAAAAUUAGAAUAACAUCGUUAGUUGAAAUAGGUACUUGCAGAUUGAGCAAAAAUCCUUCAGUGUUUCCUAGUAUGAGUUUGUAGCAGGAGAUGUUGCACUAUAGAAGACCAACACUGAAAACUAGUGAACAGAAGAUGUUCAGUAAUGAAUAGCAAACAAAUAACAAUACUGUUAUGACAGCAACACAAUUGUUACCAGCAACGAGUUAACUAUCAGCUAGAAGUUCUGAAGCGGCUCAACUAUUAGGCCAAAAUGGCGCAGCCCAACAACGCUCCACCAGAUGCUAGUGGAACCUAUUCUUUUGAAAAAUCCCGUCACAUUUUGGCUGCAGUUCCGAUUGUUAUCAGCUAUGCCAGCUGCUCAGCUAGGAAAUUGUAGGCUAUCUAUACUUUUGCCUUUUAUCAUGACAUUUACUCAUGUAAAAGGCUUGUUGUACUUAACGCUGGAGCUUGAAUGCUUGAUUCUGAAACUUGAAUGCUUGAUACUGAAGCUUGAAUGUCAACAGUUUUCAUCUAAUUAGUGUUAUCAGACAUUGAUCAUCAAUGUUUCAUGUAAACAAUCUUCUCUAUUUGGCAUGCAAGAAAAAUUUGAUUUAGCACCACUGCAUUACGGUGAACCAUGAGGGGAGUGUGACUAGUUCAACUUCGUGUUCCAAUUUUCACCGUCGUCUUCAUCUUUGUGACUAAACCGACCAACAUUCACCUACCUGAACGUCAUCGCUUCAUUAUGAGAUUGCCAAUGGUAAACAAAUAAUUCCUGAUCUUCCCCUUUUCUUCCGCCUCAUCAUCUUCAUCUCAUCGUCUUCAAGCUGGUCGUCUUUGCCUUACAGCUUUUAACCUGGUCGUCUUGGCUUCGCCGCCGUUUUCGCCUGGCCUUCUCCAUCUCGUCGAUUUGUCGCAUCGUCUUGGAUCUCGCCUGUCUUCGCCUCAUCGGUGUCGUCGUGGAGCCUCGUGUUUUUGGUAUUGUUUUGUUUUGUUGUUUAGUGUAUGUUGUAAGUUAACCCGUUGGCUGCCACCCAUUUUGCUCCCCUUUUUUUUUUAGUUGUAGGGACCGGCGGCGCUGUUCUACCCCAUGGCUGAUCGACCAUGGGGUGGGGCAGUCGCCUUGCGCCUUAGGGCGCCGUAGGCAAUGCACCAGUAGGGACUUCCCCUUGUCGAUGCGAUGGUGGAGUACCUGGGGUGUGCAUUCCCGUAAAGGUCUCCAUUGUCAAGUCAGCCCGGACUUGUCUUCGGACAAGUCCCCCUUUCAUCGAAUCCCUCAGAAACGAUGCGUAGCGACUGUAGUAGAACAACCUACGGGUUGUAAUGGCUUGGCAGCCAACGGGUUAACUUAGUGUUUGUGUAUAUGUGUAUGUAUGUUUGUAUUGUAUAACUUGUAAUGUAUUGAAUAACAUGUUAUGUAAAAUAGUGGUGGAAUUGUGGGUGGAGGUGGGAUAAUACAAAAUCAAUUCCUUUUA